rnacentral:rRNA from 1 species
CCUACGGGAGGCAGCAGUGAGGAAUAUUGGUCAAUGGACGAGAGUCUGAACCAGCCAAGCAGCGUGAAGGAUGACUGCUCUAUGGGUUGUAAACUUCUUUUAUAUGGGAAUAAAAUGUUCCACGUGUGGGAUUUUGUAUGUACCAUAUGCAUAAGGAUCGGCUAACUCCGUGCCAGCAGCCGCGGUAAUACGGAGGAUCCGAGCGUUAUCCGGAUUUAUUGGGUGUAAAGGGAGCGUAGGUGGAUUGUUAAGUCAGUUGUGAAAGUUUGCGGCUCAACCGUAAAAUUGCAGUUGAAACUGGCAGUCUUGAGUACAGUAGAGGUAGGCGGAAUUCGUGGUGUAGCGGUGAAAUGCGUAGAUAUCACGAAGAACACCGAUUGCGAAGGCAGCUCACUGGACUGCAACUGACACUGAGGCUCGAAAGUGUGGGUAGCAAACAGGAUUAGAUACCCCAGUAGUC